rnacentral:rRNA from 1 species
UACGGAGGAAAAGAAACUAACAAGGAUUCCCCUAGUAACGGCGAGUGAAGCGGGAAGAGCUCAAAUUUGAAAGCUGGCGCCUCCGGCGUCCGCGUUGUAAUCUCGAGACGUGUUUUCCGCGCGGCACCUUGGACAAGUUCUCUGGAAAGGGACAUCGUAGAGGGUGAAAAUCCCGUACUUGCCAUGGAUGCACCGUGCUUUGUGAUACACGCUCCAAGAGUCGAGUUGUUUGGGAUUGCAGCUCAAAGUGGGUGGUAGACUCCAUCUAAAGCUAAAUAUCGGGGAGAGACCGAUAGCGAACAAGUACCGUGAGGGAAAGAUGAAAAGCACUUUGGAAAGAGAGUUAAAAGUACGUGAAAUUGUCGAAAGGGAAGCGCUUGGAGUUAGCCAUGCCGCUCGAGACUCAGCCUGGCCUUUGCUUGGUGUAUUUCUCGGGCAGCAAGUCAGCAUUGGUUUGUGCCGCUGGAGAAUGGCAGUGGGAACGUGGCACCUUCGGGUGUGUUAUAGCCCACGGCUGGAUACAGCGGUGCAGACCAAGGAACGCAGCACGCCCUCGUGGCGGGUCUUCGGACACCUUCGUGCUUAGGAUGCUGGCGUAAUGGCUCCAAGCGGCCCGUCUA